GUAACACAACACACCUCCUACACAAGACCAAGGUAACACAACACACCUCCUACACAAGACCAAGGUAACACAACACACCUCCUACACAAGACCAAGGUAACACAACACACCUCCUACACAAGACCAAGGUAACGCAACACACCUCCUACACAAGACCAAGGUAACACAACACACCUCCUACACAAGACCAAGGUAACGCAACACACCUCCUACACAAGACCAAGGUAACACAACACACCUCCUACACAAGACCAAGGUAACACAACACACCUCCUACACAAGACCAAGGUAACACAACACACCUCCUACACAAGACCAAGGUAACACAACACACCUCCUACACAAGACCAAGGUAACGCAACACACCUCCUACACAAGACCAAGGUAACGCAACACACCUCCUACACAAGACCAAGGUAACACAACACACACACACCUUCUACACAAAACCAAGGUAACACAACACACACACACCUUCUACACAAAACCAAGGUAACACAACACACACACACCUUCUACACAAGACCAAGGUAACGCAACACACCUCCUACACAAGACCAAGGUAACGCAACACACCUCCUACACAAGACCAAGGUAACGCAACACACCUCCUACACAAGACCAAGGUAACGCAACACACCUCCUACACAAGACCAAGGUAACGCAACACACCUCCUACACAAGACCAAGGUAACGCAACACACCUCCUACACAAGACCAAGGUAACGCAACACACCUCCUACACAAGACCAUGGUAACGCAACACACCUCCUACACAAGACCAAGGUAACGCAACACACCUCCUACACAAGACCAAGGUAACGCAACACACCUCCUACACAAGACCAAGGUAACGCAACACACCUCCUACACAAGACCAAGGUAACGCAACACACCUCCUACACAAGACCAAGGUAACGCAACACACCUCCUACACAAGACCAAGGUAACGCAACACACCUCCUACACAAGACCAAGGUAACGCAACACACCUCCUACACAAGACCAAGGUAACGCAACACACCUCCUACACAAGACCAAGGUAACGCAACACACCUCCUACACAAGACCAAGGUAACGCAACACACC